CCAACCAUGAUUGGGGCCCCUUUAUCCUAGGCUUCAUACAGUUGAGAGAGAAUCCCUGCCCUGAAGAGCUUCCAGUCUAAACAGACAAGGGAGAAGAUGGGAACCAGAGGCACAGAGAGGGGUCACCCAGCAGAUCAGCACCUGAGUCAGAAAUAGAACCCAGGUCACCUGACUUCCUGUACACUGUGCCCUGUCCAUUAGACCAUGAUGCCACCCCUAGGUACCUAGGUUUUGGGGGGGCAGGAGGGAGUGGCAGAGAGGUUAAAGUUUUCAGAGGACAAGGGCAUAACAGGGAGCCAGAGCGUGCCAACUCCUCAAGUCUGGGUAGGCUGUUAGGAUUCCAUGGAAGAGGAGAAGGGGGUCAGGAGGCGUGAAUGUGCUAAUUCAGUCUCAUAGAACUCUGAUUGCAGAAAAUAACCAGCUGUUUUAGGAUUUAAGGAUGUAUUGAAGCCCUGCAGUAGCAUGUCCACCUGACUGAGGUGAACAGAAAGUGCUCUUUAGGGGAUGUUCUAAAAGAGCAUAGGUGGCAGAGUGACAAGGAACAGGCUUUUCAGAUCGUUGAGAAAAUAGAGAGCAAAGUCAUACAGACAAGAAAGUGAUCUGAAUCCAAUUG